UACCCUGAGCUCCAGGGUGGAGCUGUUUACCAAUACCGCGAUCUCUCCCCAGAUGCAGUUGCUACUGCAGCUAAUUAAGAGAACAAUUAAGACUAAGGCAAUCAGUCAAGUCCACAGACCUCAGUCUUCCUCCCAGCUCGCGAUGCUGUGCUGCUCCCAGAGGGCCGAGCCGUACUCAGUCAUUCAGAAAAUGACAGGAAGGAGUUAUUAAAUAUCUGAAAACCAUAAAAACGCAAUCCUAGCUGAGGCAUCCACCGGAGACCGAUGCCCGGCAACUCCAGAAACCUGGCAGGCAGGAAUUCACACACUCACAAACAAGAUUAAUCAAAAGCAUCCCAAAUCAAAAUUUAAUUAUAAGGCAGGGGUGGGAAAGGUUGUAGCAGCAAUUCCUCUUUUGUUUUGUUUAUGAUUGAUCAAUACCCCCAGAAUCAGCAGAUGCAUGGCAAAGUCCACAAGGUGUUCUUAGGAAGGAAGUAACGGAUUAAAUAUUGAACCAAACAAUUUAUCUUCUCUAGGAAGAAUUCUCAGAUAUUCAUAAAGUGACCAGCACUGACUGCAGGCAUCACAGGGGCUUUCCCUGGUAACCACCAGAGCCACCAAGGAACCAAAAGGAUAUUGGCCAUAGGAAAACAGCCAGUUCAUUAGGAAGAGGCAGUGUGCUCCUGAAAUGAAGUUCUGGCCAGUGGGGAUGAACAAAGGCAGCCUGUGUGGCCUCUGGGCUGUGCUCUCGGGAGGAAGAAGAAUGAGCUGGCAUUCCUCUUUUGUCCUGCACAUUGUCUGGAAGGAAACGUGAUACUUCAGCUGGGUCGACCACAUUAGAGACAGAAGUGGAAACCCAGAUGGAAGGCAGCAGAGGCUCUCUACCAGCCCUGCAACUGAUGCUUCCAGAUGAUUGAACAGAAAGCAAUGGUGUGUCUUAUCUAACCCAUUAUAGACUAGGGCCUUGGCCACGGCAGUCCAACCAUAUGCCAGCUACUCCCCAGCAUAUAUGGUCUCCUUAGUUGUGGGAUGUGACUGAUUGGGACUCAGAUUCUGAAUCUAUUUUUCCUUAUAAAACAUGGUAAAAGGCAAGAACAUUGACUUUUUUUUACUCAAAUUCACAUUCAAGUUUGAAGCACAACUUAAUAUGUAACUAUAAUAUGGUAAUAGCCAUUUUAUUAAGUUUCUAAAAUAAAGACAUUUCAUUUUCAAA